CGACCAGCACAACCAGGUUCUGAGAUCAGCAGGUCCUUAGCAGCCGCCUGAUGUUUGGGGGGUGGCCUGGCAGCUCUUGGCUUUAGCUAGGGCCUGGUCCAGUCAGGAGGCUCUGUCCUGGCUCAGAGAAGGUUCCACAGGUGACUCAACACAGUUGUCCGAUGGGGACUCUGAGCCAGUGGACCCCAUCACAGGAGCCUGGGGAGACCCUUGGGCCAAGACACCCCACCUUAGGAGCCUGAGACAGGGCACCAGUGUGUUCCAGCCCCUGGCUUCCACCAGCCUCUCUUUGGAGCUUCUGGCCACUCUGGGGGAAGGGAGUCAAGUUUGUCACUCCAUUGGACAGAUGAGGAAAACUGGUUCAGGGACUGAGUUACCCCAUGGCUGCUCAGCACGUGAACGGUCGCCAGAGAGCCCAAACCAGCGGGCUCCAAGGACACAGCAUCCCAAGGGCUGAAACAGACUCCUGGAGGCCUGGUGCAGUCCCCUCCAGCUGUUCAGAAGGAGAAUGCUAUGGGAAUCCAGUGAGUGGAGGCCAGAGAUGCUGGUAGACAUCCUAAGAUGCACAGAAUGGCAGCCACAACAAAGGAAUAUCCAGGCCCAGAUGUCAACAGAGCCAAGGUUGAGACACCAUGGGACAGAGGACUCCAAGCUGACUGUGCCUGGAGUCCAGCCCAGCUAGGAGAAGGACUGUGCCCAUCCUGCCUGGAGGGACAGGACAGCCAGGGAGCAGCGAACUCAAUCAAGGCCCGAGUGAGCAUGGGCAUGGGGUUCAAGCCAGCAUUUCUGCCCAGGUUGAGAGCCUGCUCUCUUCCCUGGCACUCUUCCUACACCUGGCCUGCUUUGUUUGUCCUCUGUUGCCUUGGCCAGAAUGCCAUGCCUUGCUUAUUAGGUCUGUUGAGACCUUGUCCAUCCAGGAAGGCUUCCAGAGUCCUACCAGAGGGAGGAUGUUCACUCCUCAACCGACGCUGGGAGCACCUUGGAUCCUCCUUGGCAUCAACCUGGAACUUUGCUCUCAACGCAGGUGGCAGGUGCUCUGAGAGGCCCCUCCUCUGCAUUGACCUCAUCACAGAGAGACCCAGGGACAAGAAGGUACAGGCCUUGGCUUUUAUUGGAAUCGGACCUGUGGGCUCCCCGGCCUCUCGGAGCCCAAAUCUCCGCUCAGUCUGUCCUCCCAGGUACAAGUGGCUGACCUGAGUUGGAGCAGGCUGCAAGGGCUUCUAUUUCUUCUCUUCUACCCAUGGGACCUACCCCUUCCUCCCCCCCUUGAGCCUUCCUGAGGCUGGCCCAGUCUCUGGUGCUGGGCAGCUGCUGGGGUGUCUCAGUGUGGGGGCGACUGCUGGUAGGGGCUGAGCCCUUCCUGUCUGGACCUGCCUCCUCCUCCUGAGCCAUCCUUUUCCCUCCUGUCCCCAUGGGGACAGCCAGCCCUUGGCACUCAUAUCCUUAUGGUCUCUCCAGAGCCCCAGAGCGGGUUCUUUUGCACAAAGGACAUGUAGACUCCUCUGAGGCCCCCCAGGACCUCUUGGGCCUGAGCCCCAAGCCUUCAGAGGGACUGGGCUGGAAGGGGGCACCCUUGGUUGGGUCCACACUGGAACUGGAAGCUAAGAAAAGUAGGGAAAGACAAUCACUCAGAGGAACCCAAGUGGAGGCUGCCAGCCCAUCCUAUGACACACCCCCAAACCAGAGCCUGUCAUUCUUCAGAAUAGGAAGGGGCAGAAGGGAGGGGCAGUUCUCUUGAAAGAGAGCCCAUGAGGGAGGAGGAAGAAGGAAACAUGGUUCAAGCCGGAAGGACCUUUCUGUGAUUUGACCUUCUCAUUUUAUAAAUGGGCACAGUGGAACUAGGGAGGGUAGGGGUGAUGGUGGGGAGCUGUCCAAGGUCCCUCACUGAGUGCAGACCUGGGACAGGAACCCAGGAACUUUGGGAAGGAAAAGGACCCCAUUCUUGGUCCAGCUGAGUCCCCAGCCAACUCUUCCCUGGGUCUUUCCCUCCUGUCCCCAGCCCUGCCUCACCUGGACAGGUGCUCACCUGUAUUUCCCAGGCUGUCCCUGGGUAUUGGAGCUUCCAGGAGGGCCAAGCAGUGGCUGUUACCUGGGCUCAGAGUCCCCUGUGGCAGGUCUAGGGGCCAGGCCAUGACCUCAGGACGUGAGAGGCAGCCCUUAGCCAUGAGCCGGCCCAGCCAGUGGCUCUCACACUGGCCGGCAGGUUGCAUGUGGCCUGGCAGGUAGAGAGCCAGGCCCCGGAGGUGGCGCAGUUGGAAGUUCUUAGGCUUUCUUCCCUGGGCACUGGGACACUGCUGCUGCUGGGCCCCCAGUCCCCCUUCGUAGAUGUUGGGUGGUAUGUUGGGGUGGCUGGGAUGUCCUCGGGCCCAGCUCACUGCAUCUGCAGAGGGGAGAGCAGGAGGGUGGUGGCUGGCAGGCUGCAGCAGCCAAGAGAGGAGAAUACAAUCACGUGCUCUAAGACCAGCUCAUUAGAUGGGCUCCACUGUGGCUUGCUGAGCACCGGCCUAUCUUUCCAUCAAAUGGUCUCAGUCCCCUGCCUCCCACCAACCCCCACCCAACAUAUUACUCCUCUUCCCUUUCCCAAUCACAGUGGCUUCUCACUUUCCCAAUCAAUAGGAAGGUGUGAAAAGUCUGAGAGCGUGAUGCAAAGAUCUCUCAGGAUUUCAAGCCCUUUCUCCCACCCCUUUUUGCCCCCUAUCCUAGAAAGAGCAUUCCAGUGUCAGUAUAGAAAUUGCACAGUGGGUCCAGGAUCACAUAGUCUAGGGUCACACAGCCUAGACCACUAGUGGCCAUUCCCCUCUCCCAAGGAUGCAUGUCUCUGAGGCCACUCUGGUGGCUUUGGGCCCAGGUCAGGACAGGAGGGCAACUCUCCUCCUGCCACUCCUCCCUGCAGCCUGGCACCUUCUCUUAUGCGCAGCUCAGAGAACGCACAGACCAAGGCUUCCAUGGAGGGCCAGAAUGGUGGGGGAGGAGCAGCUGGGCCUCCUGUGCAGCAGGGCUCUGUUCUCCCCCCCUGGAUCUGCAGGGCUCCCAUGGCAACCAGCUCUGUGAUGUCAAACGGAAGACUCUCAGUCUUCCUGGACCUUCAAGUUUGGGAGAGGAUGAAGCCUAGGGAUGGGGCAGAGUGGGGCAAGGCCAAAAGAAGGAAAUGGAACUCUAGAGGAGGUCCUUGAUCCUCUGGGUUAGGACAGGCCACACAAAACAGCUCUUGCAGGCUGCAAAGUCACCCCUGGGUGACCUCUGGGGGUCUCAGUUUGCUCAUCCCAUAAAAAUGAGGCCCCAGGGGCACAGACUUGGUGAGGUCUGAGCCAGCGCUUUGAGCCUACUGAGAAGGUGGUUCUGAGUGGCUGAGCAAGUCACUUAAUUUUCCUAAUUGUGCAUUGUCCUAUAAGUAGAUGAUGGGUAUCAUGUGGGUCAUACGAGUGGAAGAACUGGAGCUCUCAUUUACUGCUGGGGAGGAAUGUAAAG